rnacentral:lncRNA from 1 species
CUUUAGUACAUGCUGUACAGACUGCUGCCACAUCGGCUGGCUAGGUCGCUCUCAUUAUUUGUAAUAGCCGGAACCUGGAAACAACCUAGAUGCCUUUCAACUGAAGAAUGUAUAGAGAAAAUGUGGAGUACUAAUCAGCAGAAAAGAAAAUGGAAUCUUGAAAUUCGCAAGCAAAUGUAUGGAACUAGAAGAAACCAUCCUCAGUGGGAAAAUCCAAUUACAAAAAGAUAAACAUGGUACGUACUCACUCAUUUUUGAUUUUUAGACAUAGAGCAAAGAAUCACUAGCCUACAUUCCACACUUCCAGAGGAGCUAGGAAACAAGGAGGGUAUGGGGAUAAGAACCCCUGCCCAAAUUGGAGCUCCGGGCAGGGAGAGGAAGGAGAAUCUUCAUCCAGUUGCUGUUCAAAGUAGAAGCAGACACCCAUAGCUAAGCAAUGAACCAUACUAUUGGAAUUCAUUUGUGGAGUGGAAGGAUGGAGAAAUCCUCAGAAACAGUGGGCCUGACCUAUUGGUAGAAUGGAGACCAUAGUCAUGAAUCUA